UGACUUACCUGGCAGGGGAGAUACCAUGAUCACGAACGUGGUAUUUCCAGGGCGAAGCUUAUCCAUUGCACUCCGGAUGUGCUGACCCCUGCGAUUUUCCCAAAUAUGGGAAACUCGACUGCAUAGUUUGUGGUAGUGGGGGACUGCGUUCACGCUUUCCCCUG
rnacentral:snRNA from 1 species